UGUUUGGGCGGAGGUGGGUCAGCUCCACUGUGUCUCCGUUCAACACCUGGAUAAGAGCCUCGUCUCUCCACAGGGAAACCUCCACUGGCAAUGAGUUGCAGUUCAACUUCAAGUCCAGGACAGGCACUUUGCCAAACUGCACCUGUGCCAUCCUCACCUCCUGCAACUACAAAUCACAUAGCAGAGGAGACUGACAUACCCCCCUUCAGAGGGGUCCACUUUGUCCACUGAGACCAGAGGGGAAUGUGGAACAAGGAUCUCUCUGGCCCUUCUCUCCUGAUCUUCGUUGUUUACUUGGUGGGUCACAGUUGUUCCUGCUAUACUCACCAUUCUUCGAUGAAAUGUAAGUGUUGUUCCCAUCUGUUACAACACUAAAUGCUGUAAAUCUGUGUUGCUCUCCUUCUAUUUUGUCUCCACACUUUACAUAGGCUCCCGCCUUUCUUGUGACACGUGUGGCAACACAUUUACAUUUGAGUGGCUCUGGACGGCUGUAUGGACUGCAUGUUGCCAUUGUGAUGCUAGGAACAAAUACACAGAAAGGAGUGUUUUAGCGGCAUCUAGCGGUGAGGCUUGUGUAUUGUAACCAACGGCUUAGUCCCCUGCUCACUCUUCCGUUUAGAGAAGCUGCCGUAUUUUUCGGACUAUAUGGUGUAUACAGAUUUCGUGAAGUAAAGAUUUUACUUAGAAAAUAAACUUUCCUGUCAGGGACUGAAAAAAUCUUUAAAAUAUAUUUCUUGUGAAGUCAAGAUUUAGAUCAGAAAAUGUGUUUUCCUGUCAGAGAUCCCCCACCUCCUUUCUUUUUUUUACUUUAUAUUCUGACAGGAUUAUUCUAUUUUUUUAACUUCAUACUGCACAGGAAUUUAUUUAUUCAUUCACUAAAUGUAUUGAAUUAGUUAUUUAUUGAAAGUUAUUGAUAAUAUUUAUUGUGAAGUAAAGAUUUAAGAUUUAAUUUUCCUUCAUAUUCAAUUCUUCAAAUCCUGUCAGAAUGGGUUUUAUUAAUGUCAUGACUUCAUUAUCUUUUAAAAAUCACUAAUGUUAUUUGAAAUCAGUUAAAAAAAUACCUCAGAAAAUAAUUUUUCCAGUCAGAAACACUUCUCUGACCAAAUCCUGUCAGAAUAGGGUCUAUUAUAUUACAGUCUCUGCCUAUCAUGUCACUGUCAUAUAGGCCCUUAUCACUUUACAUUUUUUUUGGAAUAAUUUAUUUUUUAGUUGUAAAGUUACAACUUUUAAUCACUGUUUGUAGAAAACUAAAACUGACUCACCUCAGAAAAGAUGUGGUUGUUGCUGCUGCAGGGUAGUUGGUGAGUCAAGUGAGAGGGGGUCAGUGGGCCAGUGGUCUUAAACUGGGCAGUGGUCCAAUCACAUGACGUCACCGUGUCACAUGGUUACAAGAAGUAUAUUUGAUGCCUCCCGGAAUAAUUAAAAAAAUAAUAAUUUUAUGUAUUUAUUAAAAUGAUUUUUGUGUGUGUGUGAUUUGUAUUAUAAUGUAUUAAAGAACUUUAUUAAAUUAUUUAUUUAUUUGUA